rnacentral:rRNA from 1 species
AGUGAACGCUGGCGGCGUGCCUAAUACAUGCAAGUCGAACGGAGUGGCGCACGGGUGAGUAAUAUAUAGCUAAUCUGCCCCUUGCUGGAGCACAACAGUCAGAAAUCACUGCUAAUACUCCAUAGCAAGGGAUGAGACUAUAUCGUAUCAGCUAGUCGGUGGGGUAACGGCCUACCGAGGCUAUGACGCGUAACUGGUCUGAGAGGAUGAUCAGUGACAUUGGAACUGAGACACGGUCCAAACUCCGACGGGAGGAAGCAGAAGUGAAUACUGCACGUUGGGGGGAACCCUGACGCAGCAACGCAGCAUGGAGGAUGACACUUUUCGGGGCGUAAACUCCUUUUGUUAGGAAGGCGAUACCUGACGCAUAAGCACCGGCUAAAUCCGUGCCAACAGCCGCGGUAAUUC